UCUAAGUUUUUGUUUGUGACUCAAAGUUUUGCUUGUGAUUCUCACAUGACGUCGUGGGCAGUGUUGGGGUUCUGGGGUUGUUCUCCCAUUCUUUGUCCACCAGAGGGGGCUGAGAGGCGUUUCUCCUGGAGGGUGUGUCCAUGAUGAUGCUGCACGCACCUGCAGCAUAUUCCUCAUCAGUGGACGGGUAUAUCAACAGGGAGCUGUUGGUACUUCGAUGCCUGAUUGUUGAUCAGUAAUGAUUUAUCCUUGUGCAGAACGAGACGAUUUGCCUACCUACCUGUCCGCUCCUCCUCCUCCAUCGCCAACUCAACCCGCCGACCCCGGAGCCUCAUAUUUCCCCCCUAUACACCUGGACCUCCUCUUACAAGAUCCCCAGAGACCCAGCCAGGCAGUUCUCUGCUUCAGAACCCCCUUUCCAUUACCUGUUUGUUUUCAAUAAAUAUACACCUUUUCUA